rnacentral:rRNA from 1 species
GCCAUCGAAAGUCUAAGGUUUCCUGGGGAAGGUUCGUCCGCCCAGGGUAAGUCGGGACCUAAGGAGAGGCCGAAAGGCGUAUCCGAUGGACAGCAGGUUGAGAUUCCUGCACCACUGAUAUACUUAAAAGAUGCAAGGGACACAGAAGUGGAAGGAAAGCGAGGAAGAGGAAAAACUCGUAUCGAAAGAUAUAGUGAAAAUAAAGUAACGAAUUCUCAAGAAGCACACUGGCGAGAAAAGCUUGUGAGUCUUGUAUAUAGGUGCCCGUACCGCAAACCGACACAGGUAGAUGAGGAGAAGAUCCUAAGAUGAGCGAGAGAAGCAUUGUUAAGGAACUCGGCAAACUGACCCCGUAACUUCGGAAUAAGGGGUGCUGGAGUAAAAUCCAGUCGCAGAGAAUAGUCCCAAGCAACUGUUUAACAAAAACACAGGUUUCUGCUAAAUCGAAAGAUGAAGUAUAGGAGCUGACGCCUGCCCAGUGCUGGAAGGUUAAGGGAAAGAGUUAGGAGUAAUCCGAAGCUUAGAACUAAAGCCCCAGUGAACGGCGGCCGUAACUAUAACGGUCCUAAGGUAGCGAAAUUCCUUGUCAGGUAAGUUCUGACCCGCACGAAAGGCGUAAUGAUUUGGGCGCUGUCUCGACAAUGUACUCGGCGAAAUUGUAGUACUAGUGAAGAUGCUAGUUACCUGCGACAAGACAGAAAGACCCCAUGGAGCUUUACUGUAGCUUGAUACUGGGUUUUGAUAAUUUAUGUACAGGAUAGGUGGGAUGCAAAGAAACUAGAGCGCCAGCUUUAGCGGAGCAAACCUUGGGAUACCACCCUUAAAUUAUUGAAAUUCUAACCUGUGAUCAUGAACUGGUCAGGGGACAAUGUCAGGUGGGCAGUUUGACUGGGGCGGUCGCCUCCAAAAGAGUAACGGAGGCGCGCAAAGGUUUCCUCAGCGCGGACAGAAAUCGCGCGAAAGAGUGCAAAGGCAGAAGGAAGCUUAACUGAGAGACUGACAAGUCGACCAGAUACGAAAGUAGGUCUUAGUGAUCCGGUGGUUGUAAGUGGAAAUGCCAUCGCUCAACGGACAAAAGUUACCCUGGGGAUAACAGGCUUAUCUCCCCCAAGAGUUCACAUCGACGGGGAGGUU